rnacentral:rRNA from 1 species
UACGGAGGGUGCGAGCGUUGUCCGGAAUCAUUGGGCGUAAAGGGCGCGUAGGUGGCGGGACAAGCGUGCGGUGAAAGCCUGGGGCUCAACCCCGGGUCGGCCGUGCGAACUGUUUUGCUUGAGCACUGUAGAGGCAGGCGGAAUUCCGGGUGUAGCGGUGGAAUGCGCAGAUAUCAGGAGGAACACCCGUAGCGAAGGCGGCACUCUGGGCCGGAACUGACGCUGAGGAGCGAAAGCGUGGGGAGCGAACGGG